rnacentral:rRNA from 1 species
UUUUUUACGAGGUCAGGACACUGUGAGGAUUGACAGAUUGAAAGCUCUUUCUUGAUUCAGUGGGUGGUGGUGCAUGGCCGUUCUUAGUUGGUGGAGUGAUUUGUCUGGUUAAUUCCGUUAACGAACGAGACCUUAACCUGCUAAAUAGUCACGCGAACCGGUCCGCAAGGGCUCAAAGUUCGCGGCUCGACUUCUUAGAGGGACUAUUCGCACCCGCCAGCGAAUGGAAGUUUGAGGCAAUAACAGGUCUGUGAUGCCCUUAGAUGUUGUGGGCCGCACGCGCGUUACACUGACGGAGUCAACGAGCGUUUUUCCUUGCCCGAUAGGGUUGGGUAACCUCCUGAAACUCCGUCGUGAUGGGGAUAGAUCAUUGCAAUUAUUGAUCUUGAACGAGGAAUUCCUAGUAGGCGCGAGUCAUCAACUCGCGCCGAUUACGUCCCUGCCCUUUGUACACACCGCCCGUCGCUCCAGUGACGCUAG